rnacentral:rRNA from 1 species
GAUGAACGCUGGCGGCGUGCUUAACACAUGCAAGUCGAACGGAAAGGCUCCUGCUUGCAGGGGUACUCGAGUGGCGAACGGGUGAGUAACACGUGGGUGAUCUGCCCUGCACUUCGGGAUAAGCCUGGGAAACUGGGUCUAAUACCGGAUAGGACCACAUUUUGGAUGGUGUGGUGGAAAGUUUUUCGGUGUGGGAUGAGCUCGCGGCCUAUCAGCUUGUUGGUGGGGUAAUGGCCUACCAAGGCGUCGACGGGUAGCCGGCCUGAGAGGGUGUACGGCCACAUUGGGACUGAGAUACGGCCCAGACUCCUACGGGAGGCAGCAGUGGGGAAUAUUGCAUAAUGGGCGCAAGCCUGAUGCAGCGACGCCGCGUGGGGGAUGACGGCCUUCGGGUUGUAAACUCCUUUCGCUAGGGACGAAGCGCAAGUGACGGUACCUGGAGAAGAAGCACCGGCUAACUACGUG